rnacentral:tRNA from 1 species
AUUGAAGUGGCAGAGUUAAGUGCGUUAAUUUUAAGUAUUAAAUAUAGUAUAGUAUUAUUACUCUUUAGUA